rnacentral:rRNA from 1 species
GUGUCAGCAGCCGCGGUAAUACGUAGGGUGCAGGCGUUAAUCGGAAUUACUGGGCGUAAAGCGUGCGCAGGCGGUUUGCUAAGACAGGUGUGAAAUCCCCGGGCUUAACCUGGGAACUGCGCUUGUAACUGGCAAGCUGGAGUGUGGCAGAGGGGGGUGGAAUUCCACGUGUAGCAGUGAAAUGCGUAGAGAUGUGGAGGAACACCGAUGGCGAAGGCAGCCCCCUGGGCUAACACUGACGCUCAUGCACGAAAGCGUGGGGAGCAAACAGGAUUAGAAACCCCAGUAGUCC